rnacentral:rRNA from 1 species
UACGGGGGGGGCAAGCGUUGUUCGGAUUUAUUGGGCGUAAAGGGUGCGUAGGCGGUUUGGCAAGUCUUGUGUGAAAUCUUCGGGCUCAACCCGAAGCCUGCAUAAGAAACUGCCGGGCUUGAGUAUGGGAGAGGUGAGUGGAAUUUCCGGUGUAGCGGUGAAAUGCGUAGAUAUCGGAAGGAACACCUGUGGCGAAAGCGGCUCACUGGACCAUAACUGACGCUGAGGCACGAAAGCUAGGGGAGCAAACAGG